rnacentral:rRNA from 1 species
UACGUAGGGGGCGAGCGUUGUCCGGAAUGACUGGGCGUAAAGGGAGUGUAGGCGGCAUAUUAAGUUAUGUGUGAAAGCCCGCGGCUCAACCGCGGAAUUGCACAUAAAACUGGUAAGCUGGAGUGCAGGAGAGGUAAGUGGAAUUCCCGGUGUAGCGGUGGAAUGCGUAGAUAUCGGGAGGAACACCAGAGGCGAAGGCGACUUACUGGACUGUAACUGACGCUGAGGCUCGAAAGCGUGGGGAGCAAACAGG